rnacentral:rRNA from 1 species
GACGAACGCUGGCGGCGUGCUUAACACAUGCAAGUCGAACGGAAAUGCCCUGCUUUUGUGGGGUGCUCGAGUGGCGAACGGGUGAGUAACACGUGAGUAACCUGCCCUCGACUUUGGGAUAACUUUAGGAAACUGGGGCUAAUACCGGAUAGGAGCUCCUGCUGCAUGGUGGGGGUUGGAAAGUUUCGGCGGUUGGGGAUGGACUCGCGGCUUAUCGGCUUGUUGGUGGGGUAGUGGCUUACCAAGGCUUUGACGGGUAGCCGGCCUGGGAGGGUGACCGGCCACAUUGGGACUGAGAUGCGGCCCAGACUCCUACGGGAGGCAGCGGUGGAGAAUAUUGCACAAUGGGCGGAAGCCUGAUGCAGCAACGCCGCGUGCGGGAUGACGGCCUUCGGGUUGUAAACCGCUUUCGCCUGUGACGAAGCGUGAGUGACGGUAAUGGGUAAAGAAGCACCGGCUAACUACGUG